UCCGAGUUGACCCCGGCAGUCUCCCAUGAGUCCCCGGCAUAACCCGCUGGCAACAUGGGACGAGGGUUGCGCUCGUUGCGGGACUUAACCCAACAUCUCACGACACGAGCUGACGACAACCAUGCACCACCUGUGCACGAGUGUCCAAAGAGACCACCAUCUCUGGUGGCUUCCCGUGCAUGUCAAGCCUUGGUAAGGUUCUUCGCGUUGCAUCGAAUUAAUCCGCAUGCUCCGCCGCUUGUGCGGGCCCCCGUCAAUUCCUUUGAGUUUUAGCCUUGCGGCCGUACUCCCCAGGCGGGGCACUUAAUGCGUUUGCUGCGGCACGGAACUCGUGGAAUGAGCCCCACACCUAGUGCCCAACGUUUACGGCAUGGACUAC
rnacentral:misc_RNA from 1 species